UACAGAGGUCUCAACCGUUGUUCGGAUUCAUUGGGCGUAAAGGGUGCGUAGGCGGUCGCGCAAGUCGGAUGUGAAAUCUCAGGGCUCAACCCUGAAACUGCAUUCGAUACUGCGUGGCUAGAGUACUGGAGAGGAGACUGGAAUUUACGGUGUAGCAGUGAAAUGCGUAGAUAUCAGGAGGAACACCGGUGGCGAAGGCGGGUCUCUGGGCCGAUACUGACGCUGAGGAGCGAAAGCGUGGGGAGCGAACAGG
rnacentral:rRNA from 1 species